CCCGUAUAGUAGAGAAUAGACCCGGCGAAAGUCGGAUUAAUGCUCUAAUGUUGUAUUUAGAAGACAUCUGAAGAAUACCAAAGGUUUACCGCUAUAGGAUGGGGAUGCGUCUGAUUAGGUAGUAGGCGGGUAACGGCCCACCUAGCCGACGAUCAGUAGGGGUUCUGAGAGGAAGGUCCCCCACAUUGGAACUGAGACACGGUCCAAACUCCUACGGGAGGCAGCAGUGAGGAAUAUUGGGUCAAUGGACGGAAGUCUGAACCAGCCAAAAGGUAGCGUGCAGGAUGACGGCCCUAUGGGUUGUAAACUGCUUUUAUAUAGGGAUAAAGUCGGGGACGUGUCCCCGUUUGUAGGUACUAUAUGAAUAAGGACCGGCUAAUUCCGUGCCAGCCGCCGC
rnacentral:rRNA from 1 species